GAUGAACGCUGGCGGCGCGCCUAACACAUGCAAGUCGAACGGCACCCCUCCUCGGAGGGAAGCGAGUGGCGAACGGCUGAGUAACACGUGGAGAACCUGCCCCCUCCCCCGGGAUAGCCGCCCGAAAGGACGGGUAAUACCGGAUACCCCGGGGUGCCGCAUGGCACCCCGGCUAAAGCCCCGACGGGAGGGGAUGGCUCCGCGGCCCAUCAGGUAGACGGCGGGGUGACGGCCCACCGUGCCGACAACGGGUAGCCGGGUUGAGAGACCGACCGGCCAGAUUGGGACUGAGACACGGCCCAGACUCCUACGGGAGACAGCAGUGGGGAAUCUUGCGCAAUGGGGGGAACCCUGACGCAGCGACGCCGCGUGCGGGACGGAGGCCUUCGGGUCGUAAACCGCUUUCAGCUGGGAAGAGUCAAGACUGUACCUGCAGAAGAAGCCCCGGCUAACUACGUG
rnacentral:rRNA from 1 species